rnacentral:tRNA from 1 species
AUAACUAUAGUUUAAACAAAACAUUAGAUUGUGGAUAUAAUAAUAGAAGUUCAAAUCUCCUUAUUUAUG